UACGGAGGGUGCAAGCGUUAUCCGGAUUCACUGGGCUUAAAGGGCGCGUAGGCGGAUAAGUAAGUCAGUGGUGAAAUCUCCGAGCUUAACUCGGAAACUGCCGUUGAUACUAUUUGUCUUGAAUAUUGUGGAGGUAAGCGGAAUAUGUCAUGUAGCGGUGAAAUGCUUAGAUAUGACAUAGAACACCAAUUGCGAAGGCAGCUUACUACACAAUGAUUGACGCUGAGGCACGAAAGCGUGGGGAUCAAACAGG
rnacentral:rRNA from 1 species